rnacentral:rRNA from 1 species
AGCGCAGACGGUUUAUUAAGUCUGAUGUGAAAGCCCGGAGCUCAACUCCGGAAUGGCAUUGGAAACUGGUUAACUUGAGUGCAGUAGAGGUAAGUGGAACUCCAUGUGUAGCGGUGGAAUGCGUAGAUAUAUGGAAGAACACCAGUGGCGAAGGCGGUUUACUGGACUGCAACUGACGUUGAGGCUCGAAAGUGUGGGUAGCAAACA